rnacentral:ncRNA from 1 species
AAUUGUAAAUUUUAAAUGGGAAUCCGGUGCAAUUCCGGAGCUGUCCCCGCAGCUGUAAAGUCAAUACUGUCACAACAGAUCUUUUCAAAUACACCCACUGAAACUUAAGUUUUGGGAAGGGGAAAAGAUGAUAAGCCAGAAAACCUGCCAAGGCAAUA